GGGCAUUUGGUCAAGUGGUAUGACAGCCAGAGUAACUUGCCAAAAGUCGUGGGUUCAAAUCCCACUGUGUGCG